AUUGAACGCUGGCGGCAGGCCUAACACAUGCAGGUCGAACGAGUGGCGGACGGGUGAGUACAGUCUGGGAAACUGCCCGCUGGAGGGGGAUACCUACUGGAAACGGUAGCUAAUACCGCAUACCAUCGAAUGCGCCCAGAUGGGAUUAGCUAGUAGGUGGGGUAACGGCUCACCUAGGCGACGAUCCCUAGCGGGUCUGAGAGGAUGACCGCCCCCACUGGAACUGAGACCCGGUCCAGACUCCGACGGGAGGCAGCAUUGGGAACUAUUGCACAAUGAGCGAAAUCCUGUGGCAGCCGUGCCGCGGAUAUGAAGAGGGCCUUCGGGUUGUAAAGUACUUUCAGUGAGGAGGCGUUACUCACAGAGGGAGCGCCGGCUAACUCCGUGCCAGCAGCCGCGGUAAUAC
rnacentral:rRNA from 1 species